rnacentral:lncRNA from 1 species
CCCACAUCCACGCCAAGGAGAUGGGGCAGAUGGAUGCAGCGUGGAUGGACACGGGGGGGGCUCAGCACAUCGCCUGCUCCCCUGUAUGGCCAGGGGUGACGGGAGGGACACGGGAGGGGUGGAUUGGAACGGGUGGGUAUGGGGCAGGCGGACGUGGGCUGAUAGACAUGGGGUAGGUGGACAGGGGACAGAUGGACAUGGGACAGAUGGACACAGCAUGCAUGAAUAUGGAUAGACUGACAUGGGAUGGAUGGAUACAGGGCGGGUGGACACGAGGUGGGAUGACGUGGGACGGGCAGACAUAGGAUGGAAGGGUAUGGAUAGAUGGACGUGGGACAGGUGGACACUGGGUGGAUAUGGGAUGGGCAGACAAGGGGUGGUGGAUGGACAUGGGUGGACAGAUAUGGGAUGGAUGGAAUAUGGGAUGGGCAGACAUGGGAUGGAUGGACAUGGGAUGGACAGAUAUGGGAUAGGUAGAAAUGGGAUGGAUGGAUAUGGGAUGGACAGACAUGGGAUGGAUGGACAUGGGAUGGACAGAUAUGGGAUGGACAGAUAUGGGAUGGAUGGAUAUGGGAUGGAUGGGCAUGGGAUGGACAGAUAUGGCAUGGGUAGAAAUGGAUGGAUAUGGGAUGGAUGGACAUGGGAUGGAUGGAAUAUGGGAUGGGCAGACAUGGGAUGGAUGGAUAUGGGAUGGAUGGAUGGAUAUGAAUGGAUGGGUAGGCAUUGGGUGGACCUGCGAUGGGUGGACAUGGGAUGGAUGGUAUGGGAUGGAUGGAUAUGGGAUGGAUGGGUAUGGGAUGGAUGGACACAGUGGAUGGAUAGAUAUGAAGGGAUGGGUAGACAUUGGGUGGACUUGGGAUCGGUGGACAUGGGAUGGAUGGGUAUGGGAUGGAUGGACAUGGGAUGGAUGGGUAUGGAAUGAUGGAUAUGGGCUUGAUGGAUAUGGGAUGGAUGGACAUGAAAAGCUAACAAGGGCCAGAUGGACGUGGGGGGGUGGCCCAGCACCCCACCUCCCUCCUCGCACCCAUCAGUGCUGCGGUACCCC